UACGUAGGGGGCAAGCGUUGUCCGGAAUUAUUGGGCGUAAAGCGCGCGCAGGCGGUCAUGUAAGUCUGGUGUUUAACACCGGGGCUCAACUCCGGGUCGCAUCGGAAACUGUGUGACUUGAGUGCAGAAGAGGAAAGUGGAAUUCCACGUGUAGCGGUGAAAUGCGUAGAGAUGUGGAGGAACACCAAUGGCGAAGGCGACUUUCUGGGCUGUAACUGACGCUGAGGCGCGAAAGCGUGGGGAGCAAACAGG
rnacentral:rRNA from 1 species